GACGAACGCUGGCGGCGUGCCUAAUACAUGCAAGUCGUGCGGACCUUGUUGAAAGCUUGCUUUUCAAAGGUUAGCGGCGGACGGGUGAGUACCACGUGGGCAACCUGCCUGUAAGACUGGGAUAACGCCGGGAAACCGGGGCUAAUACCAGAUCGUUUUUUCCUCCGCAUGGAGGAAAAAGGAAAGGCGGCUUCGGCUGCCACUUACAGAUGGGCCCGCGGCGCAUUAGCUAGUUGGCGGGGUAAUGGCCCACCAAGGCAACGAUGCGUAGCCGACCUGAGAGGGUGAUCGGCCACAUUGGGACUGAGACACGGCCCAAACUCCUACGGGAGGCAGCAGUAGGGAAUCUUCCGCAAUGGACGAAAGUCUGACGGAGCAACGCCGCGUGAGUGAAGAAGGCCUUCGGGUCGUAAAACUCUGUUGCCGGGGAAGAACAAGUGCCGUUCGAACAGGGCGGCGCCUUGACGGUACCCGGCCAGAAAGCCACGGCUAACUACGUG
rnacentral:rRNA from 1 species